AGAUUGAACGCUGGCGGCAUGCCUUACACAUGCAAGUCGAACGGCAGCACGGGGGCAACCCUGGUGGCGAGUGGCGAACGGGUGAGUAACAUAUCGGAACGUGCCCUGGAGUGGGGGAUAACUAGUCGAAAGACUAGCUAAUACCGCAUACGAUCUACGGAUGAAAGUGGGGGAUCGCAAGACCUCAUGCUCGUGGAGCGGCCGAUAUCUGAUUAGCUAGUUGGUGGGGUAAAGGCCUACCAAGGCAUCGAUCAGUAGCUGGUCUGAGAGGACGACCAGCCACACUGGGACUGAGACACGGCCCAGACUCCUACGGGAGGCAGCAGUGGGGAAUUUGGACAAUGGGCGCAAGCCUGAUCCAGCAAUGCCGCGUGAGUGAAG
rnacentral:rRNA from 1 species